UACGUAGGGUGCAAGCGUUAAUCGGAAUUACUGGGCGUAAAGCGUGCGCAGGCGGUUUGUUAAGACAGAUGUGAAAUCCCCGGGCUCAACCUGGGAACUGCAUUUGUGACUGGCAAGCUAGAGUAUGGCAGAGGGGGGUGGAAUUCCGCGUGUAGCAGUGAAAUGCGUAGAUAUGCGGAGGAACACCGAUGGCGAAGGCAGCCCCCUGGGCCAAUACUGACGCUCAUGCACGAAAGCGUGGGGAGCAAACAGG
rnacentral:rRNA from 1 species